GGAAAAAGACAAAAGAAGGAAAGAAAGAAAAGCAAAGACGUCUUUAGAGAAUUGCAAGAGCAAAUCUAGUUUGUUCCUCACGUGCACAAAUUUUUAUAGUAAAGGCGUUGUGCCGUUACUGGUGCAUGUCUGAUGCAAAGGCUUUCUAACACCUUUCUCAUGUCACGACUCUGAAGACCGAAGGACGUUGUCAGCAGGUUUAAUGACAAUUAAAAGGGUAAAACUGAAA